CUCUAAUCAAAUAGUUCUAUAUUUUCGAAGAAAUAUUUCGCACGUUGUUCACUGUGAAAUUAAUGUAACGGUCGUAGAAACUAUACGUCUGCGGUAAUGUCGUCAUAUUUCGACAUCCGUGAUUGCGGGUUGAAAUCGAACGAAACAAAGAAUUCGUCGAUAAAAAUACAUAAAAUUGUAAACGAUACAAAAUACCGACUCUGCGGGUUCAAAACGUAAACUAAAGGGGUCGCAAUAGGAACGUAUAAGAUUUCACUCUAACGGUACGUUUAUUCGGGUUAAUUUCAUCACGUUGUACAGUAUUAUGAUUCUGACUUCAUAAACGGAAAUGCCUUCGCUGUUUAUGGAUUUGCUGUUUAACAUUUGAAAAUGCAGCACGAAAGAGCAUUGUCGUUACAAAACAAGCAUCAGGGACAUCUCUGAUAAAAGGAGCAAUUGCACGCGCGUCAAUAACCUGUAACACUUUAUGCUCAGUACAUUCGCCAAUGUCGUAAACACCGAUGAAAUUGAAGCUCGACGUAACAGAGACUCUUUAAUUUGUUCGAUUCUUCUUUGUAGUUGCCAUGGAAGGAUGUUCAAUGAGUCGAUGGCCUUGACCAGCUCCUACGACGACACGAAUUUUUCCGGAAGUGUUCCGAUUUUACCUCGCAGAUCACGUUUUUAUGUAGGAACGAUCGUCUGGUUGUCGAAGAAGUCUUACACAGCGCGUUUGUAGAAUUGUUUUGGUUGCCGAGCUGCUGAUAACUAUGCAGCUUCUUUCUCGCCUUGGUCGCCUCACGGGAUGAAACCAGUUCGGAGAUUACGUUAUAUCUGGAAAGUGACGAUUAUAUUGGAAUGCCAUGACAGUUACGAUCGUGACCAGCGUUCAAUCGACGAAGACGCGAACAGAUCGUGCCUCUUUCUGGCAUGAACGUUUCCCGCUAUUUCCGCCUUUGUCUUCUUCGUAUCGUUGCGCGCACAUUGGCACAACGAUUGCGUGGCACGCACGGGUUAAUUAUCGUCUUUUUUCUAAUGUAAAUUAAAGUUCAUUUUCAAAUAGGCUUACGCAUCGUUACGGGUUAACGUAUUAUCGCGUUCGUAUUGAAAAACUAGAACGGUCGGGCAUUAUGUCAGAAAAUAUAAAUAAUAAUAUAAUAAUAAUAUAAUAAUAAUAUAAUGUAAUAAUAAUAUAA